CAGCAAUCCAAAUGCUUCCACAGUCAAAUAUUCUACCGUUAAGUUCAACAUGGCCCUUCUUUUCCAGGAACUGGCUAAAGGAUGGCCAUGUGUUCUGCUUUUGGGAUGACGAUCCUCUUUCGAAGAGUCCUUGAUUCAGAGCAUUCAGAUAUGGACUCAGGGGUGUACAACUUCCAUCAGUUGAAGGGCCACACAAAGCUUUCUGUGGCAUGUCAAGAACUGCAUCACAAACCUGAACUUUUCUUGGCUGGCUACAGUUCCCAAUCUGACAAAAAGCGAAUUCUGAAGAUGGGUUCCCAUGGAAUUUGAUGGAAUGGUGAGACUCAAGGACUGCUGUAAACCUCCGGUGACAUGACUAUAUAAGAAUGGCAGCAAUUUCACACCCACUUUUGGCCAAAUUCCACUCCCAAGUGUCUCACCGAAAUUAUCUUCUCUUAUGAAAGGAACUUUGAAAGCUUUUCUCUUUAAUCAGUGUAUGAGGAAGAAAAAAAAAUAGGAACGAAUGCAGGUACUUUUUCCAGCAUGGCACUAUUUUAAAGGACUACAUAGUCCAGAUCUGGACCAUGGAUAAAGAAGCUGAAGAAGACAUGUUUUACAAGAAGUCAAGGAGGAAUCUGGACCUGUUAUUCCCCAGUCCUAACUCUGCAGCUGAACAACAAUAAUUCCAGAUGGGAUAUAAGAACCACUGUACUCGGUCCUCAACGAAUGCAACUCUCACCGAAACCAAUGAGUGGUCAGAGACAAGUAGAUGUAUUGAAAAAACAGUAGUACACAGCUCUAAGGCACAAAGAAAUAGCUGGAACUAAAUUCCCCACGUGCUAAACCCCUAUUUAAAGUCCUCCCAUUCCCCCCCCCCCCCCCCCUUGAUCAUCGAAUCUGUCCUGCACAGGUUGUCGGGACUCUCAGAUUUCCUCCGUUGCCAUGCCCUUAAUCGAUCUGGAAGAUUCGGAAAUGGCUUAUCAGCGCCCAGCAGUCCUCGCUCUGACCUCCCCGCCAUCUGCUGGAAUGGCAGAACCGCAGCAAACGAAGCAGUCGUGCGAAGGAGUGGUCGCGAGGAUUCUGACAUGGGAUAUGAUUCUCAAUGGCCCUCUUCCUUGCCACUAACCCAUUUUCUUGUCUAUCUGCACAACCUCCCAGAAUGAGAGGACAUUCUUAUUUUUAUCACUGCAUACAGGAAGAGUAUGUGAUGCUGGGAAAGAUUGAAGGCAAAAGGAGAAGGGGAUGGCAGAGG